rnacentral:rRNA from 1 species
AGUAACAUCCGGAAACGGGUGCUAAUACCGCAUAGUUUCUUGAUCGCAUGAUCGGGAAAGGAAAGACGGCCUUUGUGCUGUCGCUUAUGGAUGGACCCGCGGCGUAUUAGUUAGGUUGGUGAGGUAACGGCUCACCAAGACGAUGAUACGUAGCCGACCUGAGAGGGUGAUCGGCCACAUUGGGACUGAGACACGGCCCAAACUCCUACGGGAGGCAGCAGUAGGGAAUCUUCCGCAAUGGACGAAAGUCUGACGGAGCAACGCCGCGUGAGUGAAGAAGGGUUUUUUCCGGAUCGUAAAACUCUGUUGUCAGAGAAGAACAAGUUGGAGAGUAACUGCUCCAGCCUUGACGGUAUCUGACCAGAAAGCCACGGCUAACUACGUGCCAGCAGCCGC